rnacentral:lncRNA from 1 species
UCAUACAGUAUACCAAAUUAAGCAGACAUAUUGCUUUUUGAAUCUGAUACAUGGACUUGACUAUGGGUACAUAACUUUUUUCACUGAUCCAUGAAAUGUGGUCAAUGUCAAGGGAAAACAGUUUUACAGACAUGAGGAACUUUCAAUUCAUGCUCAUUGCAAGUAUAGAUAUCAUAUUAUUCAUAAGACAGAGAAUUAACAUUAAAA